AGAUGCAAUUACAUUCUCGCAGGAUAUAUCAGGAAAUAUGUUUGAGUGUUUGAUCAGACACGGAGGGGAAAAUUGCAGCAGAGAUAUUAUGGAGUAGAAGUAUUAAAUAGAUACAGUGGAGAAAUUAUCCAAGCAAGAGCAGUAUUAAAUUAGAAAAGUUUGUCUAGCACGUUACAGGCUUUAAAUACAAUGUAAUACUAGCAUAUUUCAAAAAAAUAGUUUAAUAAACGUAGAUGAAUCCCUUAAA